rnacentral:misc_RNA from 1 species
GAUGAAGAACGUAGCGAAAUGCGAUAAGUAAUGUGAAUUGCAGAAUUCAGUGAAUCAUCGAAUCUUUGAACGCAUCUUGCGCUCCUUGGUAUUCUGAGGAGCAUGCCUGUUUGAGUGUCAUUUCAACCCUCAAGCACAGCUUGGUGUUGGGACUCGCGUUAAUUCGCGUUCCCCAAAUUGAUUGGCGGUCACGUCGAGCUUCCAUAGCGUAGUAGUAAAACCCUCGUUACUGGUAAUCGUCGCGGCCACGCCGUUAAACCCCAACUUCUGAAUGUUGACCUCGGAUCAGGUAGGAAUACCCGCUGAACUUAAGCAUAUCAAUAAGCGGAGGA